CAACCUGCCGAUAACUCGGGGAUAGCCUUUCGAAAGAAAGAUUAAUAUCCGAUGGUAUAUUAAAACCGCAUGGUUUUACCAUUAAAGAAUUUCGGUUAUCGAUGGGGAUGCGCUCCAUUAGUUUGUUGGCGGGGUAACGGCCCACCAAGACUACGAUGGAUAGGGGUUCUGAGAGGAAGGUCCCCCACAUUGGAACUGAGACACGGUCCAAACUCCUACGGGAGGCAGCAGUGAGGAAUAUUGGUCAAUGGACGAGAGUCUGAACCAGCCAAGUAGCGUGAAGGAUGACUGCCCUAUGGGUUGUAAACUUCUUUUAUAUGGGAAUAAAGUAUUCCACGUGUGGGAUUUUGUAUGUACCAUAUGAAUAAGGAUCGGCUAACUCCGUGCCAGCAGCCGCGGUAAUACGGAGGAUCCGAGCGUUAUCCGGAUUUAUUAGGUUUAAAGGGAGCGUAGGUGGAUUGUUAAGUCAGUUGUGAAAGUUUGCGGCUCAACCGUAAAAUUGCAGUUGAUACUGGAUAUCUUGAGUGCAGUUGAGGCAGGCGGAAUUCGUGGUGUAGCGGUGAAAUGCUUAGAUAUCACGAAGAACUCCGAUUG
rnacentral:rRNA from 1 species